CGAAGAUCAACUGGAAAAUGCGCUUGCUGAGCUCUGGGAGCUGUAUUCUGUAACUAUCUAACGACAACUGUCGGUUUAAUCUGCUAGAGUUUGUAGUCGCAUGAUGAAUGUGAUUCCCGAGGGUGCUGUUUCGGUGAAUGCGGAAGCUAUACCAGAUCCAGUGUGGGCAGAGCAGGAUCGGCUCGAAGAUCUGAAGCAAUAUGUGGUCCAUCCUGAGUUUCUACUGUUUCGGUGAGUCAAAAAAGGAUACAAA